rnacentral:rRNA from 1 species
UACGUAGGGAGCGAGCGUUAUCCGGAUUCAUUGGGCGUAAAGAGCGCGUAGGCGGCCUCUCAAGCGGGAUCUCUAAUCCGAGGGCUCAACCCCCGGCCGGAUCCCGAACUGGGAGGCUCGAGUUCGGUAGAGGCAGGCGGAAUUCCCGGUGUAGCGGUGGAAUGCGCAGAUAUCGGGAAGAACACCGAUGGCGAAGGCAGCCUGCUGGGCCGCAACUGACGCUGAGGCGCGAAAGCUAGGGGAGCGAACAGGAUUAGAUACCCUGGUAGUCCUAGCCGUAAACGAUGGAUACUAGGGGUGGGGGGCUCCGCCCUCCGUGCCGCAGCCAACGCAUUAAGUAUCCCGCCUGGGGAGUACGGCCGCAAGGCUAAA